UUUGGGAAGGACCCUCUGCUGCUGGUUCUGAUGCUCCUGAAAUGAUCACUGCCUACAACCACCAUUGUGUGUGUUGCUGUUGAGUGUUUGAAUGCUGCUGGCUCUGAGGAGCAGUAACAGAGUGACCAGGGAACAUGUCUCAGGAAGAAAAGGAAAA